UUAUAACUUCAAAAACGCUUUUCUGUUUUCCAGAGAAGGAGCAAAUGUCAAAAUACUUCAGGAGUGGUCUUGAGCCAGAAUUCCUUUGUGGCUCCAUGAUGUAAAGUUCCCAUGGGAACCUAGAGAAGGACUUUCCCUAUAUUCCCCACCUCUUUGGGCUUCAGCAAAAGAAAAUGGACCUCAAGGGAAUCUUCAAGAGUUGCUUCAAAAUUUACUGUUCAUCGAAGCACUUGCUGAAGACUGGCUUCGUGUCAGAGGCUGUGCUGAAUGUUAUGGAGAAGGAGGUGAAGGAGAUUCGGUGCUUACCAUGAAGGAGAGGUGGCUGCAUGAAUGUGUCAGUUUAUCACAGUGCAAUAAGUGAGGUCCAUAGAGAGACCCAAAUGGUGAUAGCAACCAAUCAUUUAAGAGUCAGAGGAAAGUGGCAAAAUGUGAAGCUCUAUGAUGGAAGGUACUUUAUGACCCAGGCUGCCUUCUGGAUCAGAAAGAUACUCAAAGCUGUAAAGCUCACACAAAGCCAGGCUUUGUUAUCACCUGAGUGUGCAGAAGGACACUAAUCCUGAGUAUGUGCCACCUCGUACGCCUCUCACAUGCUUCUCCGUUUUCCCCACUUCACUCUCCUGGGUUCAUUCCAAGAUAGAGAAUGGAAGAAACCAGAGCUGAACUUGUGUGCCUGCAGUCCAGCUGUUAUGCCUGGAGAUGAGUUGUUCUGAACCUAUGGACAUAUAAGUUUAGAGUAUGUGGGAGACACUCUCUGCUUUAGCAGAUUUGGUCUUGGGCCAUACCUGCUGCUCUGAGCUCUGACAGUGUGGCUGUGGAAGGACUGUGAGGCCAGCCCAAUUUGCUCUUGGAAACAGCCUGCUCCGUUUUCCUUUGCUUUGAGCCCCGAUGUGGUCACAGCCUCUACUUUGGUGUCUCCUCAACACAGCUGAUGCCAACUGCUAUUCCCACGUAGCUGUGUUACCAAGGCCCAGGAUUCUUUUUUCAAUUAGAAAAUAUUUUUGCAAACAUUUUAAAGAACACAUAUUGUGCUUUUUCUUAUUAUAAAGUAAGACAUAUUCAAUGUAGAGAAUUUGGCAAAUACUGAAAAUAUGAAUUUUAAAAGCAAGCAUGAAUUCUGAUUCUGCCCGUCGGAGACAACCACUGUUAACAUUUUGUGAAAUUUCUCAUAGAUUUUUAAUCUAGAACCACGGGAAUUUCUAUGAUAGGAUGCUAUAAAAUGUGCUGUUAGACAUUCCAUUUUUUCUCUUAGUAACAUUUUGUGACUGUUUCCUCAUUUUAUUUAAGUAGUCUAUGCAGCCACAUUUAGAUAUGCUUAUGUGUGUGUCCACAUAUACAGAAUGCUUUCCAACAAUGUAUUUCAUAAUUUAACAUUGCCCUUAGGCAGGAACCCAUCCAGUAUUCCUACAUAGCAUUACUCUCCCAUUUGUGGUACAGCUACCACAAACUAUGUAUUUUGAUGUUUUACUCCUUACUCUUCAUGCCUAAUUGCAUUUUCUUCAUUUCUUAUUUUUUACAUCAAUUUUUUUAAAUCUAGUAAUACAGUGCUUAUAAAAAAAGACAAAACCCAUCUGUCUGUUUACCACCUAAGAAUCAGCUAUCUCCAGAAGAGAGAUAUUUCUGUUUGAGUUCGUCUAUGAGGGCUGUUUAAUUUUGAAAAGCAUAAAAAAUUAGCUGGCCGGGCGCAGUGGCUCACGCCUGUAAUCCCAGCACUUUGAGAGGCCGAGGCAGGCGGAUUGAGACCAUCCUGUCUAAGACAGUGAAACCCCGUCUCUACUAAAAAUAGAAAAAUUAGCUGGGAGUGGUGGCGGGCGCUUGUAGUCCCAGCUGCUGGGGAGGCUGAGGCAGGAGAAUGGCGUGAACCCGCGGGGCGGAACUUGCAGUGAGCAGAGAUCACACCACUGCACUCCAGCCUGGGCGACAGAGCAAAACUCCGUCCCCCCAAAAAAAUUUAAAAAGUAAUAAAUAAAUAAAUAAAUAAAUUAGCUAUGUUGAUUUGGUUUAUUGAAUAUAAUGGAAAAUACAAAUUAAUAGUAGCUUAAACACUUCAUCAUUAGUUUUCUCAGGUAGCAGAAGAUAUGUAGUCAAUCUUUACUAUUUAAGCUCUAUCAGGGACAAAGGCUCUGAUAGUUUUCUUCUUCCUUAUGACUUCCGUUUUCAAAUUUUCAAAAUGCCUGCUGUUGGAGCGCCUCAUUGUACAGAGCAGGAAUGAGUAAGGAAUCAAAAUAAAUAUGGCAUGCUCUAGCCAUAUCAGGAACUUUGAAGGAGUCUUUCUGGAAGUUCCAUACUGCACAUCUGCUUAAAUUUCACUGACCAGAGCUCAGCCAAGGGCUGGGAAGUUGUGAAUGUAGUCAUUUACCACUGAAUAAAAUCGAGGUUUUACUAUUCGUGGAAAGACAUGAAGAAUAUUGAGUAGG
rnacentral:lncRNA from 1 species